AGCGUAGACGGUGUGGCAAGUCUGAUGUGAAAGGCGGGGGGCUCAACCCCCUGGACUGCAUUGGAAACUGUUAGUCUUGAGUGCCGGAGAGGUAAGCGGAAUUCCUAGUGUAGCGGUGAAAUGCGUAGAUAUUAGGAGGAACACCAGUGGCGAAGGCGGCUUACUGGACGGUAACUGACGUUGAGGCUCGAAAGCGGUGGGGAGCAAACA
rnacentral:rRNA from 1 species